rnacentral:rRNA from 1 species
AGUGAACGCUGGCGGUAGGCCUAACACAUGCAAGUCGAACGGCAGCACAGUAAGAGCUUGCUCUUACGGGUGGCGAGUGGCGGACGGGUGAGGAAUACAUCGGAAUCUACUUUUUCGUGGGGGAUAACGUAGGGAAACUUACGCUAAUACCGCAUACGACCUACGGGUGAAAGCAGGGGAUCUUCGGACCUUGCGCGAUUGAAUGAGCCGAUGUCGGAUUAGCUAGUUGGCGGGGUAAAGGCCCACCAAGGCGACGAUCCGUAGCUGGUCUGAGAGGGUGAUCAGCCACACUGGAGCUGAGACACGGUCCAGACUCCUACGGGAGGCAGCAGUGGGGAAGAUUGGACAAAGGGCGGAAGCCUGAACCAGCCAUACCGCGUGGGUGAAGAAGGCCUUCGGGUUGUAAAGCCCUUUGUUGGGAAAGAAAAGCAGCAGGUUAAUACCCAGCUGUUCUGACGGUACCCAAAGAAUAAGCACCGGCUAACUUCGUG